UUUCAUUUCAUUUGUUGACAGAAAUCAGAUGGCUCAAAAUGGAAUAGAAGAAAUGGAUCAAGCGGCAGAGGAACAACUUUUGGCAGACACAAUGGACACCAAUGAAUCAAAAAAUGAAAACCCAAAAAAUCAUCAGAAACUUUUAGACUAUGGUAUUAAUGUUAAAGUUGCUGAUGAACUCCAGAAAAUGUGUAGCCAAGAUAAACUUGACCAUGACGAACUUGAUGAAAGAGCGCUGGAUGCUCU